UGCAGAGGCUAGAUAUUUGUGUGGCUGUGACGUGACGAUCAGAGCCCCCCGACGGUGAUCAGAUUGCGAUGAUCGACUACCCGCAAAAGGUGAUGUGUUCUGAACACAGUACUGUAAAAGGUUUACUGAUUCAAAUUUGAAUUUCAAAUUUAAAUGCAUGCUGUUGUAUCAUAUUUAGAUCCUAGUGUAGGGUUAAUUAGUAUUAAUUAAUGAGAUUAAUUAAUAAUUUCGCUGUAAAAUAGUAAUUUUGAAAAAGUUUUAAAAUUAUCAUUUUGUCCCUACACUAAAUUUUCGCUACAAUUCCUCCAUUAGCUCUCCAUUUGUAGUCUGUCGAAUCCAAUCUACUCAGUGAGAUCAGAUUCCAUCUGAAACUGGAUAUAUAUCGGACCUCAUCUAAUUUUUUGACAUUUCAUCAUGUACCUUCAUGCUGACGGUCCCAGUGCUUUCGAUUGCACAGCUCGAUCCAUCCAGUAAGUGAACAGUACCCUUACUAUUCUUCAGAGAGUCAAACAGCUCCUCUCUGCAAUAUAC
rnacentral:lncRNA from 1 species